rnacentral:rRNA from 1 species
AUUGAACGCUGGCGGCAGGCCUAACACAUGCAAGUCGAACGGUAACAGGAAGAAGCUUGCUUCUUUGCUGACGAGUGGCGGACGGGUGAGUAAUGUCUGGGAAACUGCCUGAUGGAGGGGGAUAACUACUGGAAACGGUAGCUAAUACCGCAUAACGUCGCAAGACCAAAAAGGGGGACCUUCGGGCCUCUUGCCAUCGGAUGUGCCCAGAUGGGAUUAGCUAGUAGGUGGGGUAACGGCUCACCUAGGCGACGAUCCCUAGCUGGUCUGAGAGGAUGACCAGCCACACUGGAACUGAGACACGGUCCAGACUCCUACGGGAGGCAGCAGUGGGGAAUAUUGCACAAUGGGCGCAAGCCUGAUGCAGCCAUGCCGCGUGUAUGAAGAAGGCCUUCGGGUUGUAAAGUACUUUCAGCGGGGAGGAAGGGAGUAAAGUUAAUACCUUUGCUCAUUGACGUUACCCGCAGAAGAAGCACCGGCUAACUCCGU